CUCAAGCCUAAAGGAGCGCUCUUCAUGCUUUUGGUUACUACCAUUAUCAAUCAUAUGAAGCUUUUUAAUGGCCGCAACACUUCCAUCACUCAAAACUCCUUUGUACACAUCUCCAUAUCCGCCGCUUCCAAUUUUUUUCCCUUCGCUAAAAUUGUUAGUUGCAAUCUCUAAUUCUUUGUAUGCAUAAACUUCUACUCCUUCUGCUCGGCUUUUCCUGCAACUCUUUGUAUGUGGGGGUAAUUGUCUGAACGAUGUCGGGUUUCUUGAGUAUAGACAAUCGCUCUUGAUGCCAUCUAACCAAAAAAAUGUAGAUUUCGAAAUAAAAGAUUAGGCAUUAGGGACCGAAAAAUUAUAUAAUUAAUAACCAAGAGCGUGUGGUCUAGUGGUUUGUUGGAGCCUAUAGAGAAUUCAAGUUUUAUCAUCGAUAAAUAUUGAUGUAAUUUCUUCUUGGCCAUUGUAGAUACUUUAAAUGGUACAAAUACCGUUUUCUAUAGGUUUUGGAGAUUACUUUGAGUUUCGGUCCUGAAUUUGUUCUAUUUAUAUAAAAGAAAAUAAAUAAUGUUUUACCAGGGCUAGAAGUGUAGCUGUAGCUAGUGGAAGGUCCACCGUUGUUGAUGAUGCUGCAGCUUUCUUUGCAAGCUAAGUGAUGUGCUUUGUCUCUUACGGAUUUAAGUCGAUAGAGUAAGAGGAUUAUGAGGAGAAUAGAGAAGAUUAUAAAAAGGGAGAUGAUGAAGAUGACAAUGAUGAUAAUAGCAUUCAAUGAAAUUAGACCAUGCUGGUGCUGCUCCUGGCUUGUGGGAGAUUUUGGAUUCAAUGAUGAUGAUGGAUGAUGGUAGUGGUUGCUACGACUUUCGUUUUUCAUUUUUGCAAGAGCUCUGUCCAGUUUAUGA
rnacentral:lncRNA from 1 species